UACGUAGGGCGCAAGCGUUGUCCGGAAUUAUUGGGCGUAAAGAGCUCGUAGGCGGCUUGUCGCGUCGGCUGUGAAAACCCGCGGCUCAACUGUGGGCGGGCAGCUGAUACGGGCAGGCUGGAGUUCGGUGAGGGGAGACGUGGAAUUCCUGGUGUGAGCGGUGAAAUGACGCAGAUAUCAGGAGGAACACCGGUGGCGAAGGCGGGUCUCUGGGGCCGAUACUGACGCUGAGGAGCGAAAGCGUGGGGAGCGAACAGG
rnacentral:rRNA from 1 species